UACGAAGGGUGCAAACGUUGCUCGGAAUUAUUGGGCGUAAAGCGCACGUAGGCGGCUUUGCAAGUCCCAUGUGAAAUCCCACGGCUCAACCGUGGAAGUGCAUGGGAAACUGCAGAGCUUGAGUACUUAAGAGGAUCGCGGAAUUCCCGGUGUAGAGGUGAAAUUCGUAGAUAUCGGGAGGAACACCAGUGGCGAAGGCGGCGAUCUGGGAAGAUACUGACGCUGAGGUGCGAAAGCGUGGGUAGCGAACAGG
rnacentral:rRNA from 1 species